AAGAGCCGUGUGAUGGGAGGCUGUCAAGAACGAUUCUGUGAUAGGCUUGGGCUGAAAUGCCCUUGUCUACUCGAU
rnacentral:misc_RNA from 1 species